UACGUAGGGCGCAAGCGUUAUCCGGAAUUAUUGGGCGUAAAGAGCUCGUAGGCGGUUUGUCGCGUCUGCCGUGAAAGUCCGGGGCUCAACUCCGGAUCUGCGGUGGGUACGGGCAGACUAGAGUGAUGUAGGGGGAGACUGGAAUUCCUGGUGUAGCGGUGAAAAUGCGCAGAUAUCAGGAGGAACACCAAUGGCGAAGGCAGAUCUCUGGGCCGUAACUGACGCUGAGGAGCGAAAAGCAUGGGGGAGCGAACAGG
rnacentral:rRNA from 1 species